ensembl:snRNA U6 U6 spliceosomal RNA
GUGCUCACUCUGGCAGCACAUGUAAUAAGAUUGGAAGGGUAAAGAGAAGGUUAGCAUGGCCCCUGUGCAAGGCUGACAUGCAAAUUCGUGAAGCUUCCAUAUUUUUA